rnacentral:SRP_RNA from 1 species
GCCAGGCAUGGUAGUGCAUGCCUGUAGUCCCAGCUACUCAGGAGUCUGAGAUAGGAGGAUCGCUUCAGUCCAGGAGUUCUGGGCUGUAUGUAGUGCACUAUGCCAAUCAGCUGUCUGCACUAAGUUCAACAUCAAUAUGGUGACCUCCAGGAAGCGGGGGACCACCAGGUUGCCUAAGGAGGGGUGAACAGGCCCAGGUCAGAAACGGAAUAGGGAAAAAAUGAAAACUAAAGCUGGGUGUGGUGGUAUACGCCAUCAAUCAGAGGCAGAGAGGUAGGAGAGUUGUUGUGGGUUUAAGGCCACCCUGAAAGUACAUAGUGAAUUCCAGGUCAGCCUAGGCUCGAGGGAUACCCUACCUU